rnacentral:rRNA from 1 species
GUUACCUUCGGGUAAUGAGGAUGGCGGACGGGUGAGUAACGCGUAAGGAACUUGCCUCUUGGACUGGGACAACUGUUGGAAACGACAGCUAAUACCGGAUAUUAUGAGAUUCUCGCAUGAGAAACUUAUGAAAGCUAUAUGCGCCAAGAGAGAGCCUUGCGUUCCAUUAGCUAGUUGGUGGGGUAACGGCCCACCAAGGCGACGAUGGAUAGCCGGCCUGAGAGGGUGAACGGCCACAAGGGGACUGAGACACGGCCCUUACUCCUACGGGAGGCAGCAGUGGGGAAUAUUGGACAAUGGGCCACAAGCCUGAUCCAGCAAUUCUGUGUGCACGAUGAAGGUCUUCGGAUUGUAAAGUGCUUUCAGUUGGGAAGAAGAAAGUGACGGUACCAACAGAAGAAGCGACGGCUAAAUACGUGCCAGCAGCCGCGGUAAUACGUAUGUCGCAAGCGUUAUCCGGAUUUAUUGGGCGUAAAGCGCGUCUAGGCGGAAAAAUAAGUCUGAUGUUAAAAUGCGGGGCUCAACUCCGUAUUGCGUUGGAAACUGUUUUUCUAGAGUACUGGAGAGGUGGGCGGAACUACAAGUGUAGAGGUGAAAUUCGUAGAUAUUUGUAGGAAUGCCGAUGGAGAAGUCAGCUCACUGGACAGAUACUGACGCUGAAGCGCGAAAGCGUGGGGA